UUGAAAGGGAAACGAUUGAAGUCAGUCGUACCGGUGGGUAAUCAGCCUUUCGGCGUGAUUAUGUGGAGCGUGAAGAGUUAAACGCCUUCAUGCCUGCAUAUUCGUGUUCUUUGGGUGUACUUACCCGCAUGGUAGGUUAACAUCAAUUUCGAACGUCAUAAAAUGGUUGGGGGAAUGUAGCUUCGAUCUCGCAUUGAAGUGUUAUAGCCUCCGGCAGAUGUGAUGAUCGGGAUUGAGGAUUGCAACGGAUACCCUUCUGGGCUACCCGCCUGAUCUCUGAAAGUUGCUCUGGUGCCGAAAGCUCGCUUACGGUCAUCAAAGUUGACGUUCAACAGGUUAGAACGGGAUAAAUUCGUUAAGGAUGUUGACGUA
rnacentral:rRNA from 1 species